AAGAAUCAUUAUUGAAUACGAUUGGUACUGAUGCUGGCUGCUUUGCAGCAUGUGCUCGUCCAUCUAUUUAUCUUCUCUUGUGCACAUUUUGUGAUUCUGGAUUGAUAUGCUGGUUCUCUUAAUUGAGUUCUGGUGCCUCGUCUUCGGGCGGAUUGGGGAUUGAGUUCACUUGAUUGUGUUCACUCUCCCUGUUAUUAUCUGGUCUCAUGUUUUCAUAUACCCUUAUAAAGUUACAGAAUGUCUAUUAUCGAUUGUGCUUGUCGCAGUCAUUAAACCUUAUACAACUUUCAGCAACGGAUCUCUUGGCUCUCCUAUCGAUGAAGAACGCAGCGAAAUGCGAUAAGUAAUGUGAAUUGCAGAAUUCAGUGAAUCAUCGAAUCUUUGAACGCACCUUGCGCCCUUUGGUAUUCCGAAGGGCAUGCCUGUUUGAGUGUCAUUAAAUUAUCAACCUUGCUCUCUUUUGAGUUAAGGCUUGGAUGUGAGGGCUUUGCUGGCUUCCUUCAGUGGACGGUCUGCUCCCUUUAAAUGCAUUAGUGGGAUCUCUUGUGGACCGUCACUUGGUGUGAUAAUUAUCUAUGCCAUUUGACUUUGAAGCAAACUUAUGGGAACCUGCUUAUAACCGUCUUCGGACAAUCUUUGACAUUUUGACCUCAAAUCAGGUAGGACUACCCGCUGAACUUAA
rnacentral:rRNA from 1 species